rnacentral:rRNA from 1 species
ACGGCGAGUGAACAGGGAAAAGCCCAGCACCGAAGCCUGUGGCCACUUGGUCAUUAGGCAAUGUGGUGUUUAGGUCAUUCCGCGAAGGUACUGCUCCAUUCCAAGUCCGGCAAUGAGUACGGUAAUUUUGACAUGGCCCAAAGAGGGUGAAAGGCCCGUUGGGGUGGAGGCGCAGAAAUGCCAGUGCUUUCCUGGUUUGACCUUGGAGUCGGGUUGUUUGAGAAUGCAGCCCAAAGUGGGUGGUAAACUCCAUCCAAGGCUAAAUACUAACACGAGUCCGAUAGCGAACAAGUACCGUGAGGGAAAGUUGAAAAGUACUUUGAAGAGAGAGUAAACAGUGCGUGAAACCGCUCAGAGGUAAACGGGUGGAGUUGAACUGUAAUCCCUGUGAAUUUAGCUGGUGAGCUUGGUUUGAGCUUGGUCAAAUUGGUUGAAACGUGGGGUCUGCGUAGCAGCAGGUCUUCGCCUUUUGGUGAGGAUGCGCGAGACACUUAUCAAGUGUUGCGCGCCCUAUAUUAUUCGGGCCAGCUUGCCAGUGCACUUUUGCAGGGUGUUCACCACGACCGGCAUUGCUGUCUGGCUGUUGUGGUUAAACCGGCUUUUCAUUGUCCUUGUGGCUUUGGAUAGUCGGGAUGGCAGGUAACUGGUUGACUGGCUUGCUAGUCUUCCGGUGUAAUUCGCUGACCACAUCGGUACUGUGCGGUAUGUCGGAGACGGCGGCUUGUGGUGUGUGCGUGUGUGCCAGUUGACUGGCGUGUCCGAGUUUGGUUGUUACGUUGCCUGUGUUUGCAGGCCUGAUGAUAGCUCGGAUUCGUUCGGUUGGCGGUUGCAUGCGUGUCACUUUCCAGGGCCAAUAGUCUGUGGUGUUGCGGUAGACUUUCCACCUGACCCGUCUUGAAACACGGACCAAGGAGAGUAACAUGUACGCGAGU